GAGCCUAUGGUGUUAGUGGUAGCACAGCAGACUUUUAAUCUGUUUGGCUUGGUUCGAGUCCAAGUAGGCUCA
rnacentral:tRNA from 1 species